UGGGGAAUAUUGCACAACGGGCGCAAGCCUGAUGCAGCCAUGCCGCGUGUAUGAAGAAGGCCUUCGGGUUGUAAAGUACUUUCAGCGGGGAGGAAGGGAGUAAAGUUAAUACCUUUGCUCAUUGACGUUACCCGCAGAAGAAGCACCGGCUAACUCCGUGCCAGCAGCCGCGGUAAUACGGAGGGUGCAAGCGUUAAUCGGAAUUACUGGGCGUAAAGCGCACGCAGGCGGUUUGUUAAGUCAGAUGUGAAAUCCCCGGGCUCAACCUGGGAACUGCAUCUGAUACUGGCAAGCUUGAGUCUCGUAGAGGGGGGUAGAAUUCCAGGUGUAGCGGUGAAAUGCGUAGAGAUCUGGAGGAAUACCGGUGGCGAAGGCGGCCCCCUGGACGAAAACUGACGCUCAGGUGCGAAAGCGUGGGGAGCAAACAGG
rnacentral:rRNA from 1 species